rnacentral:rRNA from 1 species
CCAGACUCCUACGGGAGGCAGCAGUGAGGAAUAUUGGUCAAUGGCCGAGAGGCUGAACCAGCCAAGUCGCGUGAGGGAAGAAUGUCCUAUGGAUUGUAAACCUCUUUUGUCAGGGAGCAAAGUCACCCACGUGUGGGUGUUGGAGAGUACCUGAAGAAAAAGCAUCGGCUAACUCCGUGCCAGCAGCCGCGGUAAUACGGAGGAUGCGAGCGUUAUCCGGAUUUAUUGGGUUUAAAGGGUGCGCAGGCGGAGGUGCAAGUCAGCGGUCAAAUUGCGGGGCUCAACCCCGUACUGCCGUUGAAACUGCAUCCCUUGAGUGCGCGAGAAGUAUGCGGAAUGCGUGGUGUAGCGGUGAAAUGCAUAGAUAUCACGCAGAACUCCGAUUGCGAAGGCAGCAUACCGGCGCGCAACUGACGCUCAUGCACGAAAGCGUGGGUAUCGAACAGGAUUAGAUACCCCUGUA